AGGAUCAUUAUCAUGUCACUCAGUCAUGCUGUUGCGUGAACUGUACAAAUCCACGCUGUGUACCUCUCCUGUUGCUUCCGCUGGGGGGCCCAGAGCAUUUCAGAUGAGUUUGUCCCUGCUUUGCACGGUCGAUGUGUCUGUGUGGAGUGUUGGCCGCUCCUUUGAGGCUGCUCUGGAUCCACACACCUGGCGGGAGGAUGCUUAAUAUCUGGGUUUACUAUUACAUCUGUCUGAACAAUGAACCAAAUAAAUUUUAAAACUUUCAGCAACGGAUCUCUUGGUUCUCGCAUCGAUGAAGAACGCAGCGAAAUGCGAUAAGUAGUGUGAAUUGCAGAAUUCAGUGAAUCAUCGAAUCUUUGAACGCACAUUGCGCCUUUCGGAAUUCCGGAGGGCAUGCCUGUUCGAGAGUCAUUAACAAACUGUUUCGAAUCCUUUUUUAUUUAAUUUUCAAGGACUCGGUUGUGGUGGAUGAGGGUGACCCUAUGCAUUUUUGAUAGGGUCUCCUCCCCACCGAAAUUGAGAAGGCGGUCUGUCCCCACGUAUUUUGUGGCGUUGUAAAAGCUGUCCAGCACUUCUCGCUUGAAAUCGUGGUUUGAACGGCUAGCCAUUUGUGAAACCCCCCCCAUUUACCAAAGGUUGACCUCGGAUCAGGUAGGGAUACCCGCUGAACUUAAGCAUAUCAAUAAGCGGAGGAAAAGAAACCAACUGGGAUUGCCUCAGUAACUGCGAGUGAAGUGGCAAAAGCUCAAAUUUGAAAUCUGGUACCACUGGUACCUGAGUUGUAAUUUGGAGAGACAAAUCUUUCUGACGGUGCCGGCCUAGGUUCCUUGGAACAGGACAACACAGAGGGUGAGAAUCCCGUGCAUGGCUGGACUGCUGUCGUGUGAUAGGUUGUCUUCGACGAGUCGAGUUGUUUGGGAAUGCAGCUCAAAAUGGGUGGUAAAUGUCAUCUAAAGCUAAAUAUUGGCGAGAGACCGAUAGCGCACAAGUAGAGUGAUCGAAAGAUGAAAAGCACUUUGAAAAGAGAGUCAAAAAGUACGUGAAAUUGCUGAAAGGGAAGCGCUUGAGACCAGACUCGAGUCGUGGUGAUCAGUCGUGCUUUUUGUACGGUGCCACUUGCCACGGUUUGGGCCAGCAUCGGUUCCGGCGGCUGGAUAAAAGGUUGGGGAAUGUAGCUUCCUUUGGGGAGUGUUAUAGCCCUUAUCACAAUGCUGCCAGCUG
rnacentral:rRNA from 1 species